GACGUAGGGGGCGAGCGUUGUCCGGAUUCAUUGGGCGUAAAGCGCGCGCAGGCGGCCGAGCAAGUCGGAUGUGAAAACCCGGGGCUCAACCCCGGGCCGUCAUUCGAAACUGCUCGGCUAGAGGCAGGUAGGGGAGAUCGGAAUUCCUGGUGUAGCGGUGAAAUGCGCAGAUAUCAGGAGGAACACCGGUGGCGAAGGCGGAUCUCUGGGCCUGUCCUGACGCUCAGGCGCGAAAGCUAGGGGAGCAAACAGG
rnacentral:rRNA from 1 species